AACGAACGCUGGCGGCAUGCCUAACACAUGCAAGUCGAACGAGACCUUCGGGUCUAGUGGCGCACGGGUGCGUAGCGCGUGGGAACCUGCCCUUAGGUUCGGAAUAACUCCCCGAAAGGGGUGCUAAUACCGGAUAAUGUCCUCGAAUCAAAGAUUUAUCGCCUUUGGAUGGGCCCGCGUUGUAUUAGCUAGUUGGGAGGGUAAAAGCCUACCAAGGCGACGAUCCAUAGCUGGUCUGAGAGGAUGAGCAGCGACACUGGGAGUGAGACACGGCUCAGACUCCUACGGGAGGCAGCAGAAGGGAAUAUUGGACAAUGGGCGAAAGCCUGAUCCAGCAAUGCCUCGUGAGUGAUGAAGGCCUUAGGGUUGUAAAGCUCUUUUACCCGGGAUGAUAAUGACAGUACCGGGAGAAUAAGCCCCGGCUAACCCCGUG
rnacentral:rRNA from 1 species